CAAAGCGCUCCCCUUUAGAGGA
rnacentral:miRNA from 1 species